UCAAGAAUAAGGUGUCUGUAAGCAGUCUCUAUAAUUCAGGGGUUUCCAAACAAUGGCACAUUACCACUGGAGGUACAUGAGCUUUAUGUUCCAUCAAUUCACUUCACAACAGUUUUGUAAAGAAAUUGGUAUGUGACUCAAUUACGUUUGGGAACCACUGCUCUCCAGUUAUUUGAGGAAUCUGGGCAGAAUGAGGACAUAGCCAUCAAGCUGAGACUUGGGCAAAUGCAUGAGGGAACGCUCUCCAUGCAGGGAUCCAAUUGGGUGCAGACAGAGUGAAUGCUCUUGGGCAAUCUCGAUCUUUGUGGAUGCAAACCAAAGAGGGGCAGUGCAAACACAAUCUGUUACUCGCUAAUAAAACGAUCAUAAAAAAUGA